rnacentral:rRNA from 1 species
GACGAACGCUGGCGGCGUGCUUAACACAUGCCGGUCGAACGGAAAGGCCCUGCUUUUGUGGGGUGCUCGAGUGGCGAACGGGUGAGUAACACGUGAGUAACCUGCCCUUGACUUUGGGAUAACUUCAGGAAACUGGGGCUAAUACCGGAUAGGAGCUCCUGCUGCAUGGUGGGGGUUGGAAAGUUUCGGCGGUUGGGGAUGGACUCGCGGCUUAUCAGCUUGUUGGUGGGGUAGUGGCUUACCAAGGCUUUGACGGGUAGCCGGCCUGAGAGGGUGGCCGGCCACAUUGGGACUGAGAUACGGCCCAGACUCCUACGGGAGGCAGCAGUGGGGAAUAUUGCACAAUGGGCGGAAGCCUGAUGCAGCAGCGCCGCGUGCGGGAUGACGGCCUUCGGGUUGUAAACCGCUUUCGCCUGUGACGAAGCGUGAGUGACGGUAAUGGGUAAAGAAGCACCGGCUAACUACGUG